rnacentral:rRNA from 1 species
UACGUAGGGACCAAGCGUUGUUCGGAUUUACUGGGCGUAAAGGGCGCGUAGGCGGUGUGUUAAGUCACUUGUGAAAUCUCUAAGCUUAACUUAGAACGGUCAAGUGAUACUGAUGUGCUAGAGUGCAGAAGGGGCAACCGGAAUUCUUGGUGUAGCGGUGAAAUGCGUAGAUAUCAAGAGGAACACCUGAGGUGAAGACGGGUUGCUGGGCUGACACUGACGCUGAGGCGCGAAAGCUAGGGUAGCAAACGGG